ACCUAGUUGGCUCAGUCAGUACAGCAUGAGACUCUUGAUCUCAAAGUCAUGAGUUCAAGCCCCAGGUUGAGUG
rnacentral:tRNA from 1 species